CAAUGCCUUGGUCCUGGGCCUAUUAUCACUUGUUAUUAUGCUUAUACAUGCAAGCCUCUACAAACCUGUGUAAAUGCCCAAUUUUAUCCUAAAGCGAUAUACGGAGCAGACAUCAGGCACGCACUAUACGCAGCCCAUAACGUCUUGCCUUGCCACCCCCCCACGGGCAUGCAGCAGUAAUAAACAUUGAGCUAUGAACGAAAGUUUGACUCAACAAUAAUAAACAAAGCCGGUUAAUUUCGUGCCAGCCGCCGCGGUUAUACGAAAGGCUAAAAAUGAUAAUCCAACGGCGUAAAUAGUGACUAGAUGUAACACAUGGGAUAAAAACACUGCUAUGGUAGUAAAAUGCACAAAUCAGUCGGAACAUAUAAUUUCCCAAUACUUCAUUGACGCCACGAAAGCCUAGAAACAAACUAGGAUUAGAUACCCUACUAUGCUAGGCCGUAAAUAAGAUAGUACACCUACAAACUAUCCGCCAGAGAACUACGAGCGAAAAGCUUAAAACUCAAAAGACUUGGCGGUGUCCCAUAAACCUAGAGGAGCCUGUUCUAUAAUCCGAUACUACACGUUUAACCCAACCGUCCCUUGCAAAGUUCAGCCUAUAUACCGCCGUCGUCAGUCUACCUUGUGAAAGUCAACAAGUAGGCAAAAUAGUCAGCCUUCCACUAAUACGACAGGUCGAGGUGUAGCUAAUAGGACGGCAGAAAUGGGCUACAUUUUCAUAUAAUGAAAAUACGAACAACAAACUGAAAACCUGUUAGAAGGAGGAUUUAGUAGUAAAUUAAAUAAGAAUCUUUACUUUAAUUACAUCCUGGGACGCGCACACACCGCCCGUCACCCUCUUCGACAAAAUAUAAAACUUAAAUAAUACAUCAAAAAUUAAAAGAAGAGAUAAGUCGUAACAUGGUAAGCGUACUGGAAAGUGUGCUUGGAAC
rnacentral:rRNA from 1 species